CCAGCCGGCCGGGCGGCCGCGGUGCCUUGUGCAUCGAGGAAAGUCCGGGCUCCACGGAGACACGGUGCCGGAUAACGUCCGGCGGGGGCGACCCUAGGGAAAGUGCCACAGAAAUCAGACCGCCCGCGCGUGCGCGGGUAAGGGUGAAACGGUGGGGUAAGAGCCCACCGCGCGACCGGCAACGGAAGCGGCACGGCAAACCCCACCGGGAGCAAGGUCGAAUAGGGACGGCACGGGCGCGCAAGCGCCCAAUCCGGUCUUCGGAUCGUCGUCCGGGUUGACUGCCAGAGGCGCCGGGUAACCGGCGUCCCAGAGGAAUGGCCGCCACGUGGGAGAAAUCCCGCCAUACAGAACCCGGCUUACAGGCCGGCUGGUGCU
rnacentral:RNase_P_RNA from 3 species